rnacentral:rRNA from 1 species
UACAGAGGCCUCAAGCGUUGUUCGGAUUCAUUGGGCGUAAAGGGUGCGUAGGCGGCGCGGUAAGUCGGGUGUGAAAUCUCGGAGCUUAACUCCGAAACUGCAUUCGAUACUGCCGUGCUUGAGGACUGGAGAGGAGACUGGAAUUUACGGUGUAGCGGUGAAAUGCGUAGAUAUCGUAAGGAAGACCAGUGGCGAAGGCGGGUCUCUGGACAGUUCCUGACGCUGAGGCACGAAGGCCAGGGGAGCAAACGGG